rnacentral:tRNA from 1 species
CGGGGUGUAGCUCAGCCUGGUGGAGCACUGCCUUCGGGAGGCAGGGGCCGGAGGUUCAAAUCCUCUCACCCCGACCA